rnacentral:rRNA from 1 species
AGAUACCCCGGUAGUCCUAGGCGUAAAUGAUGCGAGUUAAGUNUGGGGGCAUCUACGAGAUGGCCCUGGUGCUGUAGGGUAGCCGUUAAACUCGCUGCCUGGGGAGUACGGUCGCAAGGCUGAAACUUAAAGGAAUUGGCGGGGAGCACCACAAGAGGUGGAGGCUGCGGUUCAAUUGGACUCAACGCCGGAAAACUCAUCGGGAGCGACAGCAGUAUGAUUGCCAGGUUGAUGACCUUGCUUGACAAGCUG